GACGAACGCUGGCGGCGUGCCUAAUACAUGCAAGUCGAACGCACUCUCGUUUAGAUUGAAGGAGUUUGCUCCUGAUUGAUAAACAUUUGAGUGAGUGGCGGACGGGUGAGUAACACGUGGGUAACCUGCCCUAAAGUGGGGGAUAACAUUUGGAAACAGAUGCUAAUACCGCAUAAAACCUAACACCGCAUGGUGUAGGGUUGAAAGAUGGUUUCGGCUAUCACUUUAGGAUGGACCCGCGGUGCAUUAGUUAGUUGGUGAGGUAAAGGCUCACCAAGACCGUGAUGCAUAGCCGACCUGAGAGGGUAAUCGGCCACACUGGGACUGAGACACGGCCCAGACUCCUACGGGAGGCAGCAGAAGGGAAUCUUCCACAAUGGACGAAAGUCUGAUGGAGCAACGCCGCGUGAGUGAAGAAGGUUUUCGGAUCGUAAAACUCUGCUGUUGGAGAAGAAUGUAUCUGAUAGUAACUGAUCAGGUAGUGACGGUAUCCAACCAGAAAGCCACGGCUAACUACGUG
rnacentral:rRNA from 1 species